AGAGAGUGAGAGAGCCCUUUGUCCUAACUAAUUUAUUCUUAUUUUGGCAUGGCUUGCUAGCAUUCUGAUUCAAAACACCAAAAUUCUUAGUAGUCUUAAAUUUUAAACUCUGAUAUCAUACCUGCCACAAUCAUGCCCCGAGAAUGAUUUUGUAUUAGCCUUAACUUCUUUCUUUUUGUUGCUCAUUGUCGUUUAUCAAAAUAUUUAUGUCAAGCAAUUUUCGUGACUGACCGAUGAUGCAACCAAUAAAAUCUUUUCUUUCUUUCCAAUUAUACGGAAUUUCACUAAAUGAGAUUUAACUACCCCUGCCCUUAUUAAAAUUUGAAAAUUUUUUACUCAUGAUUAACCUAUUGCUCUGAUACCACAAGAAUGUCACGCCCCGG
rnacentral:lncRNA from 1 species